UUUAGUUCAGAGGCAAUGGAAAUUUAUAAAUCAUUAGAAGCUCAUAACCUCUUUAUAUCUGGUUGGGUACAAACCAUUAGACACACGAUCCUUCCUAAUAAAGUGAUUGUUAUGAAAUGCUAUGAAAGUUAGACCAUCCUUUAGGAGUACAGAGAAUUCAGAUAAUCCUUGGAUAGCAUUAAAUGAGGAUAGAAAUGUUUUAGCUGCACAUUGUGAUUGCAUGGCUGGCCUUGGUGAAACUUGCUCACAUGUUGCUGCGACUCUAUAUAAAAUUAAAGCUGCUGUUCGAUUCAGAAUGACACAGUGUACACCAACUGACCUUCCUUGUAAAUGGAACCAAAGUUUUAAUUAGAAUGUGCUAGCUUCACCUGUAGCAAAUUUAAAAUUAUAUAGUUCCAAAGCCAAGCAACAGUUUACUAAAAAAAGAAAAUUAGGUUGUGUAAAGCCAACACUUGAUGAAAAAAAAAUAUUUCUAGAUCAACUUCAUACCAUUAAUCCCAAUAUUGUUGGACUAUCAUUGUUUAGUCAAUACUCAUCAACAUUUGCUUCAAAUGACAUUGUUUGUAUUCGUCUAAAACUUCCAAUAUCAUACAAUAGUCUUUAUUCAAAGAAUACAUCACAAGAUGAUGCCCAACUAACUAAUUUAUGUAAAGAAACUAAAAAGAAACUUAUAGUGUCAGAUUUAAAAGCAGUUUACAUAGAAGAAUCUACAAGAAACUAGUCAUAAUCUUUAACAUGGUAUCAGCAACGAUGUGGUCGAAUAACUGCUUCUUUAUCACACCAAGUUUUUCAAACAACUAUGAAAAAUUCGUCUCGGUCAUUGAUUAACAAAAUAUGCUAUCCAAACCCACCUCAAAUAAAGACCCAAGCUUUUUUAUGGGGUACUCAACAUGAAUAUGAAGCUAAAAAGUUGUAUACAAAUUUAUAUAGUGACCCUAAUUUUAUUUCAGAAAUUAUUUGUUUGAGUGAAAAAAAAGUACACAGAGGUAUCAACGUAAAGGACAUAGGUCUGUGCCUCAUUUUAGACAAACCAUGGAUUGAUGCUUCAUUCGUUUUGUGAUUGUUGUGGAUAUGGCGUUGUGGAGAUUAAAUGUCCGUUUUCAUUACGAGAUAAAUCUCUUAGAGAGGAAAUUAGUUCUGGUAGAUUUUAUAUUUUAAAUGAAAACAAACAAUACACUAUAAAUAAAAAUCACUCUAACUAUACGCAAGUGCAAAUCCAAAUGUAUGCUACUGGAACAUCUUAUUGCGAUUUUAUGGUAUGGAACCCAGUUAAAUUUGUUAUUUUUCGUACUGCUUCUGACACAGAGUAUCAAAAAAAUGCAUUAGGUACAAUAAAUAAUUUUUGGCGUUUAAAUAUUUUACCAGAGCUUUUAACAAAUAGAAUUGCAAAUGAUGCUAAUAAUGACAAGGAAACUUUCUCGAAAGAUGCUGAGCCUGACAGUGUUUAAUCAUAUUACGUGUGUAACUCGUUGACUACUGAAGGGGAUAUGGUGGCUUGUGACAGUUGUGACAAAUAGUUUUAUCCUACAUGUUUAAAACUUAAUAAACUGCCUUCUUCAAAAGUAUGGUAUUGUCCAAUAUGCAGGAAAAAAAAGUAAAGCAGGAAAAAAACUAUAAAGCUAUGUUAA